GAUGAACGCUGGCGGCGUGCCUAAUACAUGCAAGUCGAGCGAACAGACGAGGAGCUUGCUCCUCUGACGUUAGCGGCGGACGGGUGAGUAACACGUGGAUAACCUACCUAUGAGACUGGGAUAACUUCGGGAAACCGGAGCCAACACCGGACAAUAUAUUGAACCGCAUGGUUCAAUAGUGAAAGCCGGUUUUGCUGUGACUUAUAGAUGGAUCCGCGCCGCAUUAGCUAGUUGGUAAGGUAACGGCUUACCAAGGCAACGAUGCGUAGCCGACCUGAGAGGGUGAUCGGCCACACUGGAACUGAGACACGGUCCAGACUCCUACGGGAGGCAGCAGUAGGGAAUCUUCCGCAAUGGGCGAAAGCCUGACGGAGCAACGCCGCGUGAGUGAUGAAGGUCUUCGGAUCGUAAAACUCUGUUAUUAGGGAAGAACAAAUGUGUAAGUAACUAUGCACGUCUUGACGGUUCCUAAUCAGAAAGCCACGGCUAACUACGUG
rnacentral:rRNA from 1 species